rnacentral:rRNA from 1 species
UUGCGUAGGUGGCAGAGUAAGCAAAUAGUGAAAGCGUCCCGCUCAACGGGAUAAACAUUAUUUGAACUGCUCAGCUAGAGGACGAGAGAGGUCGCUGGAAUUCCCGGUGUAGCGGUAAAAUGCGUAGAUAUCGGGAAGAACACCGAUGGCGUAGGCAGGCGACUGGCUCGUUCCUGACACUAAGGCACGAAAGCUGGGAGCAACG